GACGAACGCUGGCGGCGUGCUUAACACAUGCAAGUCGAACGGAAAGGCCCUGCUUUUGCGGGUUGCUCGAUUGGCGAACGGGUGAGUAACACGUGUGUAACCUGCCCUUGACUUUGGGAUAACUUCUGGAAACUGGGGCUAAUACCGGAUAGGAGCUCCUGCUGCAUGGUGUGGGUUGGAGAGUUUCGGCGGUUGUGGCUGGAUUCGCGGCUUAUGCGCUUGUUGGUGGGGUAGUGGCUUACCAAGGUUUUGACGGGUAGCCGGCCUGAGAGGGUGACCGGCCACAUUGGGACUGAGAUACGGCCCAGAAGCCUACGGGAGGCAGCAGUGGGGAAUAUUGCACAAUGGGCGGAAGCGAGAUGCAGCAACGCCGCGUGCGGGAUGACGGCCUUCGGGUUGUAAACCGCUUUCGCCGGUGACGAAGCGUGAGUGACGGUAAUGGGUAAAGAAGCACCGGCUAACUACGUG
rnacentral:rRNA from 1 species